GUAGCCGCCACUGGUGGUAGCAUGGUGUUACGUGCCACCGUGCGCCUCCAGGGUGGAUGGCAGUAAUGGCACCCCACCUAAUGAGUGGCACCCAGGGCGGACUGCCCCCCCCCACUCCUCUAUUAGUACGCUACUGCUGACGCACAUACAGAUACACACACACUGAAAGGCACCAAGAGCAUUUGACACACGGUGCGGAUCCUGAAUUUGGCACCCCCUCCAAGUCCCCCCACCCACUUUAAAAUGCAAGAAAC